AUGCUGCCGCCGGGUCCGUUCUUCAAGUUCGUUUCCAAGGAGGAGAGACGCCUCGCGCCAGGGCUCCGCCCCCUUCUCCUGAAUGCGCGAGCAGCUGCUUUCAAAUCCAACUGCUCAAUUCCAUUCAUCCUCGAGAGGGAACAAAAAAGUGGCUAUUUAUUAGAAUACUUGUUUUGUAUUGUUCCGCGUCACACAAAAGAGGCUUUAUUAUUGUGUAGUGAGUGGUGGGACUGGGAGCAGUCAUACGACUGGCCUUGGCACACUAAGUGUAGGUUUUAGCAAGGAUGGCGGUCUGGCGAGUGGCUUUGGCUGGGUUAGGACAGCGAUAGAACCGGUAAGGACGAUUUUACAUCACUGCAAAUGAAGGACAGUGCAAGUUUAUAUAGCUUUAAAAACAAGAUUUAGAUGGAUAUGCAUUAUCUUCUGGGGAAAAUCUUACCUUUGGAUAUUUUAAGAAAUUGUAAAUUAAUCUUCUCGUCUGGAAACGUGAUAUAGUCUACUGAGACAAUGAUGUCGCCUUGACUAACUGGUUAUUAGCAGAAUAGAAGUCCGGUGCGUAAGUAGCCUACGAACUGCGCCGUGAAGCCUGUUAACAGAAAGAUGAGAUCAGUUUUACUGAGCUUGAUCGCAUGAUGUGCUGUCUAACUGUACUACAUCGGAUAAGAGACGUUAACGCGAUUUUUUUUCCAACGACGGUCCGGUGAUGUAGGGUAUUUCAGUCGGUCCAAUGUAGGGUAAAGUCGCAUUUUAGAGGAAGACUUUCAUGCAAUCAUCUAAACACUUUAACACGCGUUAAUGUUUAGCAAUUCUUGAUGGAAGUCAGACAGCUAGCACUUUAUUUUUUUUAAAUAUAGUUCAGAAGUUUUAAUUCAGUACAAUAAUUAAAUUAGACUAUUUAAUUAAAUUAACUAAAUAUUUAAAGGCCUAUUAAAAUGUGUGAUUCAUUGUCUGUUCAUAUGUAGGCUAAUGCUGAUUAAACGUUUUGUCUGUUUUUGUUCCCUGUAAAAAUAAAAACUUUGGUCGUGUGACUGUUAUAGGAAAAUAACACUUAGUUGGAGUUUUGAUCAACAGAUUGCCACUAUCGUUUAACAGGAUGUCAUUUUCAAGCGUCUAAAAGCCAACGUCUUACCACAGCCCUUGUGAAGUCAAGAAAAGCCACACAAAGGAUUUAAACAAUCAAAUUAGGUUAAACAAGGCUACAGCCACAAACAAGUUCAGCACGCUUUAAUUUUUGUAGUGAAACGCUUUCCUGUUAAUGAACAGUCACACACACUGAAAGCUCAUAUAGUCAAAAUAAUACUUAGCCUACUAAUAUUACAAUUAUUGUUUUAUUAAAUUGGAUAAUUUUAAUAAAACAAUUACUAUUUCUCUUACUGAUAUUUUGGGGUCAUGAAUUACAUAAAGCAUGUUAUAUUCCCGUCUCCUUGUUGCAUCCACCAUCCACUAAAUAACGUUUCGUGAUCUGGACGAUGGCAAACACCCGUGACAACUAUUAAACUGUCACUUCAUUUUUACGUUUAGGUUUGUUUCGUUCUUUUUCAAAUAAGACGGACACCUCUGUAAUUUUUUGACUAGUCGUCUGCGUUUUGGAUAACUGCUGUAACCCCAGCUCUCGCACGUGCGCCAACAGUGCCCUAUUGCCCCCAGCGCGCGCAAAACAAAGACACUGUGAAGAGCGCGACACUGGAGCAAAAUGAGAACUGACAAUGUACGUUGUUCCAGGAGAGUCACAGUGUGGUUUAGCUCGCUAAUCCGAAGGACAAUUAAAUAUAUUAAAUAACAUACAAUUGUUGUUAUUAAAUCUGCCUAAUCUUCACCAUAAAACUAACGAAACGUUUUGAAUCAUCAUGACAACAUUUUGAAUUAAAUUCAUAUUUACAAAUGUAAGGUUAGCCUGUCGGUGUGGGAAACCUUUCAUAUUUAUUAAUGCGCAAUGUUAAGUACUGUACUAAAAUGAUUGCAAUUCUCAAAAUAUUAAUGGUGUUUUUAAAUUAAAAUACAUAACGCAGAAAAUAAUAAUUUUAUCAACAUAAAAUGAGUGGCUAGACACCAUGACUGAGUAAAUGAAAAACCAUAGGCUAUCUAGACUGUUGUUACGUGGGCAUUUGAAAAGCCCUUAUCUUUUGUCAAAACAUGUUUUUGAUUAUUUGAUAUAUUAGCCUAUCGUUCCUGUCAUAUAUUCAAAAUAUGACAAAGUUCCUACAGAAUAUAUAUUCAAGUUAUUUCUUAUGUAACUUGGAAUCAAAAUUGAUGGCAAGAUAAUAGUUUUGUCUAGUGUUUCACAAACAUUUUGGGGUCGGUCAUGCGAUUGUAUCAUAGGCUGUACAAUGAUCAAUGCUAUAGUAAAAUAAAAAUUACAGUCUGUUUCCUUAUAGACAUCACCUUUAUUUCUUGCCUUUCAGUGUCUGAUGUUUUUUUUAUUUCGAGAUAACUUGAGAGUUUCAUAGUUUCCCGUGGGCUAUAUGCCAAUUUACAAUCAUCUUUUUCACGCGCUUCAAAAUCUUACCAGUGCACCACCAGACGGCAGUGUCUUCGAUUUAGGAACCUCUAUUUAAAAUCAUGUUGUUUACCUCUUAAAAUAUUGUGGUUUUCAUAUUGCUUCACUUAAUGAAUAACUAGCCUGUUUAUAAAAUUCUAAGUGGGAAUUGUGUGUGUGUUGAUAAUGUCUGGCAAAAAAGAUUUAACCUAUUCGAAUGCGAAAUGAAAUUACGCUGUUUUAUCCUGUUGACUUUUUGACAUCCUAUUUUAGAACGUGCACUUGUGGAAAAUUCAUUUUGACUGAUUUUUUUCCUUUAACAGUUUUAUACUCACAGACAUUCAGCAUGCAGUGGACUGUAUAUCAACAUAGCUGACAAAGUUGACUACCCUUUACACACAAAGAUUUGGCAAGACGUCACGAGGGGAGCAUUGGAGCUAUUACAGUUAUUAUAAA
ensembl:lncRNA